UCUUUCUAUUUUUUGAGGUGAAUUUUUUUUCAGGCUUUUGUAAGGGAAGCCAUGAAUGGAUCAACUGUUCUUCAGAUUUUUCCAGUUUCUAUUAGACAGCUUCUGAUUGGAUAAAUUUGAUCCCAGAUACCAUGUCUGCUGCUCGCAGUAAAGAAAAGAAUAAUAUCAAACUUUACAAAUUAAUAUGAAUUUGGAAUUUACCAUUAUGGUCAAAGAAAGAUGUUUGAUGAAUGGAUCUGCAGUCUCAGAGCUGUACUGUAAUGAUGGGGUCAUUUCACAAUGAUGGAUAGGUCAUCAGCCAGCAUGACAGAGGAGCACACUGACAACAUAGUGAUCCAGAAGCAGGGAAUACUGAGUAUCAGUGGAGGACAAUUUUCCUCAAUUCAGGAUAUGUGGCAGCAGAGAAGGUAACUAAGGUUAUUUGAGUCAGUACUUGAAUGAGUAUUUAACAAAGCAGACAAUGAAUUGGUGUCUGAAGAGAGGACAGAGUAUCAGGUAUUGAGUAGACAAAGCCAGAAGUAGGCUAGACAAGGGAAGAGCAUAUAUAGAAAUGAGAAGCGUGUAGUCUUGACAAACAUGAAUGCUUAGUAAUACAAAAGCUGGUUCACAAUAGUCAGAUUUCUAACCAAAAAUCCUCUAUAAUGGAAUAUAAAAAAGUCCACAAUGGUAGAGUGAUCGCUGAAGGUGAUGAUAUUAAAUGCCAGCAGAGGGAUUACUGCUUGUAAAGUAGACUGAUACGUAUCCACUUACAAUUUCACCAACAUUUAAUACCACUAUUUAUAUCCUAUCUGAAUUUGGCAAGGCAGCUAUGUGCUCUGUGUGAUACACUGUAACUACAUUGUAUCAAGCACAUAAACACUUGCUUUCUUACUCUGUACUGUUCUUUUUACCUUCCGGACACUGCAUACUUACACCUUAGCAUUUUUAUUUUCAGGGAAGCGCGUGCUAAAAUUGUAAACUUUCUUUAUUUGAGACCAUUAUAAAGGCAGACAAAGACUUUUGGCCAGCAUGUGAACAUUUAAGUCACUACUUCAGAUGUACUCAGUGUUUGCUUAUGGAAUGCCAUUGAUCUAUAUUUAAUCAAUACUUUUUAAACUUCCUUCAAGAUCUGCUCAGCAGCCACCUCUAACCCAGCACAUGAAGAAGAAAACUGGAGUAAACGAGUUUUUUUCAUCCAUUUGCAGUAUCAUCUAGCUUGACACUGCCUGGGUGCACUCUCUUAUGCUUGUAUCCUUGCUUCAAAAACUGUAACAAUAUGUUCUCUAACACAGCUCCAUAGUAAAAGAGAUUUAAAUUUAAAAAUAUGUCAACAAGUCUAUUGGAUUCUAGCACAUUCUGACUAUACUAAGAGAACAGAAUGAUGUUACUUGUAGGAGAGAAAAACUUAUCUAGCAAUAGAUCCUUAAACAACCUAAGGAAGCAGCUUCAUAUACCAAGUAAGAACACUAAAGGAAGUAUACAAAUGCUGAAGUAAUCUAUGAAUUAAAAACCUCAAGGACUUUAUAUUUUCCUGAAUUUAAGAAAUUUGCAAUAAUUCUUAGUCUGUCUUCCUACACCCUUAUUUUGGUGUUUGUGCUCCUUUCUAAAAGGUUUGUCCCUUGGCCCAUUGCUGGAUGUGAGAAACGGGAACACAAGAAAAGGUAUGAAUAAACAGGAGAAAUAGGAGGAGCAAAGAUGAACACAUGUGCUAGAGAAUCUGCAGCUGGCUGAGCAUUAGGGAGUUUCAUGUGAGCAAACAAAAAAUGUAGAGAUAGAAGAUGAAAUAAGUAGCCUUGAGCGAAUUGCAAGUGUAUCUUAAAUAUCAUAAUUUGUGAUCACCAAGUACAGUUUUGCCAAAUUCAAGGUGAACUGGAGAAACCAAAUUCUGAGAACAAUAUCAUUAAAUGUUCUGUUAUAUAUCUUAAACUUAGACCUAAAUGUUCAUAUUUACUUAAUAUAAAGACUCCUUUCAAGUUUGAUUUUGACUUUGCAUAUUUGGAAGCUAUAAAACCAAUCUUUUCUGAAACUAGCUGAACAAACUUGUCAUAAGAUUUUAAAAAAACAGAACAUACUGUUAAAAUUCAAAGUUAAAAAGUGGAUUUCUUUUGUCCCCUGUUUACAUAUGAAGGGGAAAUCCAAGUCAACUGGAGAGCUACAUCAAAUAUAUUGUACAUGUCCUGUCUGCUGUUUUGAUGCUGCCAUGUAAAUGUCUUCUUGUUGAGCCUGGGGAGAAACAUAUGUGUGACAGUGGCUGCAGUUGCACUUGGGACUGACACAGCCUGCCAUCCCAAAGAGGCGAACCUGUCUGUGAAGAGUGUUGAAAGGUAAAUGAAACAAGCUUAACUAAUGGAAGUGGUGUUUGUUUUCUAUUUCAACCCUAAUAAUACGUUUAAACCUAAUCCACAUAGGGAUUUGCUUGUAUGUGUCUUUGAUCACUGCUGAAUUUGAAAAGUAGAUGUAUAACCAGCAACAAUUAGGAGAGUCCAAAAACAUUUGCCUUUAAGAGUCAUCAGAGUCACAAACUGCAUAAUGCUGCUGAGGAAAAUAAUUACCAACAUGUGUAUGGAUGAGGGGGAAAUUGGCAAUUUGUUCUGCUAAGUAUUUAACCUUUUAAUUUUCUACUCUUCAGGACUGUUUAGUAUAUAUAGUUUGUUUUUUAUACGUGGAAAAUAGGCAAGUUUAUAACAAACACUGAUGUAAAGAUAAAAUUCUUACUUGGUUUUGAGGUACGCAUUAUUCUCUCCCAACCAUCACCACUGCACAGAAGAAGAAAUCAUAGCUCAGAAAUUGAAGGACUACAUAGAAAAUAUGAACUACUCUGAUUUCAGUGUUCUUUUAAGUUAAUGUGUUCUUC